rnacentral:rRNA from 1 species
UACGUAGGAUGCGAGCGUUGUCCGGAAUUAUUGGGCGUAAAGAGAACGUAGGUGGUUUCUUAAGUUUGGGCUUAAAGACUGGAGCUUAACUCCAGGACUGGCUCGAAAACUGGGAGACUAGAGGAUGUCAGAGGAAAGUGGAAUUCCGAGUGUAGCGGUGAAAUGCGUAGAUAUUCGGAGGAACACCAGUGGCGAAAGCGACUUUCUGGGACAUUCCUGACACUGAGGUUCGAAAGCUCGGGGAGCAAACAGG